rnacentral:rRNA from 1 species
GGCGUGCGUAAUACAUGCAAGUCGAGCGGACAGAUCGGAGCUUGCUCCCUGAUGUUAGCGGCGGACGGGUGAGUAACACGUGGGUAACCUGCCUGUAAGACUGGGAUAACUCCGGGAAACCGGGGCUAAUACCGGAUGCUUGUUUGAACCGCAUGGUUCAAACAUAAAAGGUGGCUUCGGCUACCACUUACAGAUGGACCCGCGGCGCAUUAGCUAGUUGGUGAGGUAAUGGCUCACCAAGGCAACGAUGCGUAGCCGACCUGAGAGGGUGAUCGGCCACACUGGGACUGAGACACGGCCCAGACUCCUACGGGAGGCAGCAGUAGGGAAUCUUCCGCAAUGGACGAAAGUCUGACGGAGCAACGCCGCGUGAGUGAUGAAGGUUUUCGGAUCGUAAAGCUCUGUUGUUAGGGAAGAACAAGUACCGUUCGAAUAGGGCGGUACCUUGACGGUACCUAACCAGAAAGCCACGGCUAACUACGUGCCAGCAGCCGCGGUAAUACGUAGGUGGCAAGCGUUGUCCGGAAUUAUUGGGCGUAAAGGGCUCGCAGGCGGUUUCUUAAGUCUGAUGUGAAAGCCCCCGGCUCAACCGGGGAGGGUCAUUGGAAACUGGGGAACUUGAGUGCAGAAGAGGAGAGUGGAAUUCCACGUGUAGCGGUGAAAUGCGUAGAGAUGUGGAGGAACACCAGUGGCGAAGGCGACUCUCUGGUCUGUAACUGACGCUGAGGAGCGAAAGCGUGGGGAGCGAACAGGAUUAGAUACCCUGGUAGUCCACGCCGUAAACGAUGAGUGCUAAGUGUUAGGGGGUUUCCGCCCCUUAGUGCUGCAG